rnacentral:rRNA from 1 species
UUCCGGUUGAUCCUGCCGGACCCCACUGCUAUCGGGAUGGGACUAAGACAUGCUAGUCGUGCGCUUCCAAGCCGCGGUGGAGGCGCGGCGCACAGCUCAGUAGCACGUGGCUAACCUACCCUUGGGACGGAAACAACCCCGGGAAACUGGGGCUAAUUUCCGAUAGGUGAAGACUCCUGGAAUGGAUCUUCGCCCAAAAGGCGUUUAGACCAUGCUUCUAAGCGCUGCCCAAGGAUGGGGCCGCGGCCGAUCAGGUUGUUGGUGAGGUAACGGCUCACCAAGCCUUUAACCGGUUCGGGCCGUGAGAGCGGGAGCCCGGAGAUGGGCACUGAGACAAGGGCCCAGGCCCUACGGGGCGCAGCAGUCGCGAAAACUUCGCAAUACGCGGGAGCGUGACGGGGCCAUCCCGAGUGCCGUCCGCUGAGGAUGGCUUUUCCCCAGUGUAGAUAGCUGGGGGAAUAAGGAGAGGGCAAGUCUGGUGUCAGCCGCCGCGGUAAUACCAGCUCUCCGAGUGGUGGGGAUGUUUAUUGGGCUUAAAGCAUCCGUAGCUGGCUGGGCAAGUCCCCUGUUAAAUCUAACGAUUCAAUCGUUGGAUUGCGGGGGAUACUGCUCGGCUAGGGGGCGGGAGAGGCCGACGGUAUUCCCGGGGUAGGGGUGAAAUCCUAUAAUCCCGGGAGGACCACCAGUGGCGAAGGCUGUCGGCUAGAACGCGCCCGACGGUGAGGGAUGAAAGCUGGGGGAGCGAACCGGAUUA